GGCAAUGUGGCUUAGUGGUAGAGUGCUUGCCUAGCAUGCAUGAAGCCCUGGGUUCAAUUCCUCAGUACCA
rnacentral:tRNA from 1 species